rnacentral:snoRNA from 1 species
GUUCAUGAUGAUCAAUUUUUUAUCAAUAUACGCUGGAAAUUACCGGCUGAGAUUUCUCAUUGAAGAUAUUUAAUGGCUAUAUCUGACU